AGACGACGCUUAACACUCCACUAGCUUCAGCUAGUGCAAUAUUAAAAAGCAUAAUUCGACCAAUACAUUUGUAUCAAGUGCUGUGACCUACCUAAAUAAUAACAUUCAAUAUGCUGUUUUUACUGCGCCAGCAUACUUUGAUUUGUUGCAAAGGCAAGCAAUUAAAGAUGCUGCCAACAUUGCUGAUUUAAAUGUUAUACGAAUAGUUAAUGAAUCCACAGCAGCAGUAAUUACUUACGCUGCACAGAAAAAAGAGAAAAAUAAAAUUAUUGCUGUUUAUGACUUGGGUGGAGGUGCAAUUAGUGCGGCAAUGUUAGGAGAAGUGUUAGCAGAAUAAAAAACAGAUAUGCCACUCUUUCAUCAGAAUUCUUAAUUUUUAACGGUAAAUUGCCAAAAAUGUCUCGAACUAUACAUUGUACUAUUGGCAUUCUUGCCACCAACUAAUAUAACUUUCUUAAUGCAAUAUUUGGUUAGUUCAGCAUCAGAUAAUGCUUUUUCGUAAAGUUCAGUAAUAAGUUUAAUUAGAUCACUUUUUAUUAAAUUGUUAAGUGUAUUCCUCUAUAAUUUACGCUUUAAAUGCUUUGACCCUUUAACAAUAGUAAGACAGAAAAGAUUUAUAACGGUUUGAAAUGAACUUGAUAAAUCUAUGUUAGCUAUUUCAGCAGCUUGUUUUAAUCUUGUUAGUGCUACUGAAUCUGUGCUGACAUCUAUAAAAUGCUGCAUUAUUUUAUGAAAUUAGUUAUUAUUAACAUAAAUUUAUUUUAAGAAACAAUUGUAGUUAGGAAAAACGCAUACCUCUUUUUUAAAUUCAGAUGUAAGAUAACCAACUAUCUGUUUUUUGUUCUGCUAACACUUCUCCUAACAUUGCCACACCAAUUGCCACACUUUCAUCAGAAUUCUCAAUUUUUAAUGGUAAAUUGCCAAAAAUGUCUUAAACUCUUACAAACAUGCUUGUGAAGUUUGUUUGUUUUCUUUAUAGAACACGAGUUAUAGCAAAGUUAAGAUAUUAUUUUUAUAGUUAAGAUAUAUUUUUAUUAUAAUUAUUUAUUAUUUUAUUUUGUUAUAUUUUUCUAUAACUAGUGUUCUUGGUCAAUUUUUAAAUGUUUUGAAGAGUAAAUUUUCACAUAAAGUACAUUACUUAUUAUGUACAUAGUUGAACACUAGUAUAAUGUAACUUUAGUGCAAAAUCAUUUUUCGUGCAAUCUAUGAAACAUGUCAUUUUAUGAUUUCUCGUUCGCUGUUGUUUAAUAAAUCUUGAAUUUUAUAUGGAA